rnacentral:rRNA from 1 species
UACGUAGGUGACCAGCGUUGUCCGGAUUUACUGGGCGUAAAGAGCGCGCAGGCGGUCGUUCAAGUCGAGUGUGAAAGCCCCCGGCUCAACUGGGGAGGGUCAUUCGAUACUGAUCGACUCGAAGGCAGGAGAGGGAAGCGGAAUUCCCGGUGUAGUGGUGAAAUGCGUAGAUAUCGGGAGGAACACCGGUGGCGAAGGCGGUUCUCUGGGCCUUACCUGACGCUGAGGAGCGAAAGCGUGGGGAGCGAACAGG